rnacentral:rRNA from 1 species
AACGAACGCUGGCGGCGCGCCUAAUACAUGCAAGUCGAACGAGAAGCUGUAGCAAUACAGUUGUACAGUGGCGAACGGGUGAGGAAUACAUGGGUGACCUACCCUCGAGUGGGGAAUAACCAGCCGAAAGGUUGGCUAAUACCGCGUACGCUUCCCAGUCUACGGGUUGGGAAGGAAAGCGAUGCCGUGGGUAUCGCGCUCAAGGUUGGGCUCAUGUCCUAUCAGCUUGUUGGGGGGUAACGGCUCACCAAGGCAACGACGGGCAGCUGGUCUGAGAGGACGAUCAGCCACACUGGCACUGCGACACGGGCCAGACUCCUACGGGAGGCAGCAGUAAGGAAUAUUGCGCAAUGGGCGAAAGCCUGACGCAGCGACGCCGCGUGGGGGAUGAAGGUCUUCGGAUUGUAACCCCUUUCGGGUAGGGAGAUGGACGAGCAAUCGUUCGGACGGUACCUCCAGAAGCAGCCACGGCUAACUUCGUGCCAGCCGCCGCAGUAAG